rnacentral:rRNA from 1 species
GUACUUGUACCGACUGGAUGAGCAGCGAACGGGUGAGUAACGCGUGGGGAAUCUGCCUUUGAGCGGGGGACAACAUUUGGAAACGAAUGCUAAUACCGCAUAAAAACUUUAAACACAAGUUUUAAGUUUGAAAGAUGCAAUUGCAUCACUCAAAGAUGAUCCCGCGUUGUAUUAGCUAGUUGGUGAGGUAAAGGCUCACCAAGGCGAUGAUACAUAGCCGACCUGAGAGGGUGAUCGGCCACAUUGGGACUGAGACACGGCCCAAACUCCUACGGGAGGCAGCAGUAGGGAAUCUUCGGCAAUGGACGAAAGUCUGACCGAGCAACGCCGCGUGAGUGAAGAAGGUUUUCGGAUCGUAAAACUCUGUUGGUAGAGAAGAACGUUGGUGAGAGUGGAAAGCUCAUCAAGUGACGGUAACUACCCAGAAAGGGACGGCUAACUACGUGCCAGCAGCCGCGGUAAUACGUAGGUCCCGAGCGUUGUCCGGAUUUAUUGGGCGUAAAGCGAGCGCAGGUGGUUUAUUAAGUCUGGUGUAAAAGGCAGUGGCUCAACCAUUGUAUGCAUUGGAAACUGGUAGACUUGAGUGCAGGAGAGGAGAGUGGAAUUCCAUGGUUAG